UCGGGAAUAUUGCCCAAUGGACGAAAGCCUGACGCAGCGACGCCGCGUGGGUGAUGAAGGCCUUCGGGUCGUAAAGCCCUGUCAAGAGGGACGAAACCUCGUCGACCUAACACGUCGGCGACCUGACGGUACCUCUGAAGGAAGCACCGGCUAACUCCGUGCCAGCAGCCGCGGUAAUACGGAGGGUGCAAGCGUUGUUCGGAAUCACUGGGCGUAAAGCGCGUGUAGGCGGCCUUCUCAGUCUGGUGUGAAAGCCCGGGGCUCACCCCCGGAAGUGCAUUGGAUACUGGAAGGCUGGAGUACCGGAGAGGAGGGUGGAAUUCCUGGUGUAGCGGUGAAAUGCGUAGAUAUCAGGAGGAACACCGGUGGCGAAGGCGGCCCUCUGGACGGAUACUGACGCUGAGACGCGACAGCGUGGGGAGCAAA
rnacentral:rRNA from 1 species